rnacentral:lncRNA from 1 species
CAGCCGGGUGCAGCCGGUGGAGCUGGCCGCCUCCUCUAACUUUGAGCCCCUCUACAACCUGGCUCCCGCCUCUAACGCGCUGGGCCUCCUCGACCAAGCCCCUCAAGUCUCUCUUUGUCUCGCACGUUGUUGGUGUAAUGUGGGCUAAUCCAAAAUUGUCUCUCUCCUCGGAGUGGUUGGCCCAGACUAGAUAUUAGUCACUACAAGAAUGUAUACUAGGCCAGGUGCGGUGGCUCACGCCUGUAAUCCCAGCAGUUUGGGAGGCAGAGGUGGACGGAUCACGAGGUCAGGAGUUCGAGACCAGCCUGGCCAACAUGGUGAAACCCCCGUCUCUACUAAAAAUACAAAAAUUAGCCGGUCGUGGUGGCGGGCGCCUGUAAUCCCAGCUACUCAGGAGGCUGAGGUGGGAGAAUCACUUGUACCCAGUAGGCGGAGGUUGCAGUGAGCCGAGAUCCUGCCACUGCCCUCCAACCUGGGUGACAGAGCGAGACUCCAUCUCAAAAAAAAAAAAAAAAAAAAAAAAAGAACGUAUACUUGUGGAAAAGUAAAUCCUCACCCAAAAUUAUGAUAAAUUACAAAUUACAGAUGAAUGAACCAGACCUCUCUCCGGCCCAUCUCUUACUCAGACUGAGCUUGCUGGUUCAGCCCGUGCCACUUUUUAGGGCUUUACCCUAAAAAGCCCAUCCAUCCACACGGGAGAAAAGCCAUUUACACCUGGUGAAAUAGCCGCCACUAUUUCAGCCCAAGGGAGGUGUGCUGGUCACUGCCUAGUCUAUGGCGGGCCAUUCAGCCCGUCCUGGCAUCCUGCGUUUACAGGAGGUUGUGUCAGCACUUCGUGGAGGAGCGUCCUCCAGGAGGUGGGAAGGUGAUGAAGGGUCAAAUACCGACAGUGACUUGGAACAGACAGG